AUUGAACGCUGGCGGAAUGCUUUACACAUGCAAGUCGAACGGCAGCACGGACUUCGGUCUGGUGGCGAGUGGCGAACGGGUGAGUAAUACAUCGGAACGUGCCCAGUCGUGGGGGAUAACGUAGCGAAAGCUACGCUAAUACCGCAUAAGAUCUAAGGAUGAAAGCGGGGGAUCGCAAGACCUCGCGCGAUGGGAGCGGACGAUGGCAGAUUAGGUAGUUGGUAGGGUAAAGGCCUACCAAGCCGACGAUCUGUAGCUGGUCUGAGAGGAUGAUCAGCCACACUGGUACUGAGACACGGCCCAGACACCUACGGGAGGCAGCAGUGGGGAAUUUUGGACAAUGGGCGCAAGCCUGAUCCAGCCAUUCCGCGUGCAGGAUGAAGGCCUUCGGAUUGUAAACUGCUUUUGUACAGAACGAAAAGGCUCUGGUUAAUACCCGGGGCUCAUGACGGUACUGUAAGAAUAAGCACCGGCUAACUACGUGCCAGCAGCCGCCGUAA
rnacentral:rRNA from 1 species